rnacentral:lncRNA from 1 species
UUCCUAUUUGGGGAUGGAAACUAAUUCAGUUACAUCUGAAAAGGACACCAGUCACUCAAUAUAAACAUUUGAAUACAGAUAAUAUUUCUGCACAUGGAACGUCAUUGAGAGAAGUUAUACAAACAUGUAAAGAAAGUACAAAUUAUGGAAGUUCUGCAAAUUCUACAGGGGAAGAAGAAAAAAUUAGAAAAUAUUCCCCAGAAGAGAUUCAGAGAAAGAGACAAGAAGCUCUGAUUCGAAGAAUGUCUAAAGCACGGACAUCAUUUGUGAAUGCAGUGGAGCUCAGGGAGAUUGAACUGGGGACUACUUGCUACAAUUGGAAAUAAGGCUGAAUAACUAUCAUUCAAUACCUACAAUCAUCUCUGUGAUGAAGAUACUUCAAGCUAGUCAAUUUGUUCAUAGUUUCCAGAAGUCUACAGUCUUCACUGGUGGCUGCCAGUUCGCUUAUCAGGUACGUGGCCAUUUUGGAGAAUAUGUUCUGGCACAGCCCCCGAUGUCCACCUCAGCGGGCUUCAUGGCCUCCUUGGUGGUCUCUACUGUGGCAUCGUCUAGGCAGGGGAAGGGAGGAAGGAGAAAGGAUAGAGGGAAAGAUGAGGAUGGGAGAGUAGAGGGAGAGGGAAGGAAAAGGAAGGUAGAGAAAAGGAGAGAGA